rnacentral:lncRNA from 1 species
AAAAAUCAAACAUAAAAAAGACAAUAGUAUCGAACACAACUACCAAUGUAAUAGUAUCAAACUUCAAAUAAACUAACGCAGGAAUUCGUCUACGACAUACUUAGUUAGCACCACCAAAAAACAUGACAAUAGAAUUCACCAUCGCAGCGAGGUCCUCAAAAUCAUCAUGCACAGAAACAUCAUUAAUAAGUUUCUUCACAUCAACAAGCAAAACCUCAUAAACUCCAGUCUAUUCCUCUAUUUUUUUUAUUUGUCAUCUCAGGGUCUUUCUCAGCCUUCUUAAUUUUAAGACCUGACCUUGGCUAAUUCACCACCAAUAUCAAAUCACUCAUUUGCAACCUUCCUAAGGCCCUCAAUAUUUGGUGGAUCCACAACAAAAAUGUCUUCAUCAUCACCAUCACCUUCAACAGAUGGGUUUAUCAAUUCAAGGUAUUCGUUGUAAUUAGUUUCAAGUUUUGAAUAAUCAUCAUUCAACUUCUUUAAAAAAGCAUCCGCAGACCUUCUCAUAAGAUACUUCUUGUAUCGCUCAUCCUUCUUCACUUUGUGUAGUUUAUCUCGCCCAUAUUGAAGUGCACUUUAUUCAAGUGCACCAUGGUAUAAAGCUACAAUUUCUUUGGUUGUUCAUUUGCGAGCCAUCU